UUGAACGCUGGCGGCAUGCUUAAUACAUGCAAGUCGAACGGUAACAGAUCCUUCGGGAUGCUGACGAGUGGCGAACGGGUGAGUAAUGUACAGGAAUCUGCCUAGAAGAGAGGGAUAACUUGAGGAAACUCAAGCUAAUACCUCGUACGCUCUAAGGAGGAAAGCAGGGGAUCUUUUGACCUUGCGCUUUUAGAUGAGCCUGUAUCGGAUUAGUUAGUUGGUUAGGUAAUGGCUGACCAAGACGAUGAUCCGUAGCUGGUCUGAGAGGAUGAUCAGCCACAUUGGGACUGAGACACGGCCCAGACUCCUACGGGAGGCAGCAGUAGGGAAUAUUGGACAAUGGGCGAAAGCCUGAUCCAGCAAUGCCGCGUGUGCGAAGAAGGCCUGUGGGUUGUAAAGCACUUUCAGUGGAGAAGAAUAGAUAAAUACUAAUAUUGUUUAUCUUUGACGUUAUUCAAAGAAGAAGCACCGGCUAACUCUGU
rnacentral:rRNA from 1 species